UUACUUGCACUCCUGGCAGGGGCAGAGUUAAAAAUGAAGGCGACUGUUUUCACUACAGAUGCAAGAAAAAGAAAGUCCUUGUGCUUUCUGUCUGUCUGGUUGUGGCAGCCAAAUCGAAUGGGGGAAUAUAGGA
rnacentral:snoRNA from 1 species